rnacentral:lncRNA from 1 species
CGCUCAUGGCCGGACUACCGUGUCUUGGGAUCGUUGUCCCCAGUCCGCCCGAGAAGGGACCCGGACCCCGGUGCGGCUAGCACACACAUCGCGCAGGACCGGAGCCUAGGGGCUUGGGAAGCCGGACCCACGCAGCCCGUAGAGGGACACACGUUUCCUGCGAUCGAAAUAGCGGAGCCGAUGGAGGUCCGACCGGGACCUAGUGCGGCUAGCACACACAUCGCCCAGGACCGGAGCGUGGCUGUUCGGGAAGCUUUGGUGUCGUGGACAGGCAGCCCCCGAGGCUGCGGAUGACAACCUCCUGUUUCAGAACAGGCUGCUACGCAUGCAGCUCGUGGCCGCACAGCCGUGUCGUGGGCUCGCCUUUUCCGAUCCGCCCGAGACGGGGCCCGGACCGUGGUUUGGCUAGCACACACGUUUCCCACGACCUACCUCAAGGGGCUCGGGACGGUCGGCUCCCGUGCCUCCAAACGGAUAUAACCGGGAGCGUGGGCUGGUCUUUCGCCGAUCCUCAGGGGAUAGAACCGGAACGGCGAGUCCCAAUAGCAGCGGACACCAGCCUCCCGCUUCACGGCACAGCCGGCCAACGUGCCGAUCGAGGCCGGUCCCCCGGGACACGGGACAGUCUGCCGGCAUGCCGCCCGACACUGUCCACAGAUUUCGGAACAGCCGGUUCCCGAAAGUCUCGACAGCAACAACCUCGUUCAACGCACGGCAAGCACCGCGCCGUAUGUGGCCAGAUACCUGUGCCAUUGGAUAGCCGUCUCCGAGACACCCGAGGUCGGCUCUGGACCCUGGUGCGGCUAGCACUAUUUGUCUCCCAAGACCGGAACCAAGGGGCUCGGGACGGUCUGCUUCCUCGCCUCCGGACGGAGGCACCCGGGAGCUCGGGACGGCAAGCCUCCCAUCCUCAUGGGACUGAAACCCGGCACCGGGACGGCCAGUACAUUAACCCUUCCCGUUCCUAUUCCCGUUCCCGUUACCCUUCUCCUUCCCCUUCCCCUUUCCAUUCCCCUUCCUCUUCCCCUUCCUCUAACCCUUUAACACGUACCCUAACUCUAACCCUUACUCUUAUCCAAAACUUAACCCUUAACCUUACGCUAAAAAAAAGUUACAUUAAACCAAAAACUUACCCUUACACUAAACCUAAUUCUCUAACCCUAUCCCUAAACCUAACCCUAAUACUCUCACCCUAAUCUAAACCUAACCAGAACCCGAAACAUUAACCUAACCCACUCACCAUAUUCUUAAAUGAACGCGUUUUCUGGGGCCCAAUUU